rnacentral:rRNA from 1 species
CCUACGGGUGGCAGCAGUGGGGAAUAUUGGACAAUGGGCGAAAGCCUGAUCCAGCCAUGCCGCGUGUGUGAAGAAGGCCUUCGGGUUGUAAAGCACUUUCAGUGGGGAAGAAAGCCUUGGGGCUAAUACCCUCGAGGAAGGACAUCACCCACAGAAGAAGCACCAGCUAACUCCGUGCCAGCAGCCGCGGUAAUACGGAGGGUGCGAGCGUUAAUCGGAAUUACUGGGCGUAAAGCGCGCGUAGGCGGUCUGAUAAGCCGGUUGUGAAAGCCCCGGGCUCAACCUGGGAACGGCAUCCGGAACUGUCAGGCUAGAGUGCAGGAGAGGAAGGUAGAAUUCCCGGUGUAGCGGUGAAAUGCGUAGAGAUCGGGAGGAAUACCAGUGGCGAAGGCGGCCUUCUGGACUGACACUGACGCUGAGGUGCGAAAGCGUGGGUAGCAAACAGGAUUAGAUACCCUGGUAGUC